AUGCAUUCCUACAACAUAGCGUUAAUGCAAUAGAUCCCAUUAGAACUCCACAGUUAAGCAUGCUCGUGCUAGAAUAGUACUCGGAUGGGUGACUUCCCAGGAAGUCCUAUUGUUUUACAUG
rfam:Picea glauca, whole genome shotgun sequence.